AUGGUUUGCUCUCAGUUGAAGCAGGAGCUGCUGCAGGUUGUACAGAAGCACAUUCCAGGAGCUGAGGUCUUCUCACCAGCCUCGUCUCCACUAAGAGGAAAUGGGUCCCUGUGCUCUGUACACAAUGACAUCAUGAGCACUGAUACUCUUAACACUGUGAAACAAACCCCCGUCAGUGACACUCAGCAGCUCUCAUUAGGACUCACAAUGUUAGUUCUUGUAUUAGUUCUGUUUCUCUCAUUGUCAAAGGCUGCUGGUGUAACUGUGGUGACACAGAAACAGUUUUCUGCAGUGAAAGAGGGAGAAACAGCUCUCUUAACAUGUACACAAGAGGGCUCUGAUGAAUACAUGUACUGGUACAGACAAUAUCCUCGUAAGGGACUGGAACUGAUUUUCUUCUCUAGGCGGGAAAACAUGGAUUUAGAAAAAGAGUUCACUGAUGAAAGGUUUUCAGCUACCAGACCCAACAGGCAGAGCUUCCCUCUGACUAUCACAGAUCUGCACCCUAAAGACUCUGCUGUGUAUUACUGUGCUAGCAGUAGAGACACAGCAUGUGAGAGUCAUGUAACCUCAAUACAAAAACCUCAACACUAAAGGGUUCUGUAUCCCACUCACAGACACUAGGGGGCAGUGCUGGGUAAGCACAGACUGAACUGGAAAUGCAAAUACGUAAACUGAUCAAAUUAAAAAUACUUCAAGAGGCUUUUCUGUCUGUAACCUAAAUACUGUGUUACGCAGCAUGACAGCCUGUCUAGAAACCAUUGAGAUCUUGCCACACAUGUGUUGAUGAAGAGGACAGGGUUUCCUAUCCUCUCAAGACAAUGACAUCAUGAGAGUCAACACCCCUCAAGAUAAACUCUGAAGCAGAACUCUGAAACGCUCAGUAUUAAUCUGAACCCAUCACUCAGAGCUCAGGAUGUUCAGAGUCCAUGUGCUCAUUCUCAUUCACUCAUUGUUAGGUAGGGGCAACUUUUUAAAUGGAUAAACACUUCACUAGUUUCAAAAUAAUGGAUGUUUUUAUUUUUGUAUUGAUUUAAUUAAACUAAUUUCUAUUAACUGAGAA